rnacentral:tRNA from 1 species
GAGCCGUUAGCUCAGUUGGCAGAGCACCGGACUUUUAAUCCGGGUGUCCCGGGUUCGAGUCCCGGACGGCUCACCA